UACGGGGGAGCAAGCGUUGUUCGGAUUUACUGGGCGUAAAGGGUGCGUAGGCGGCUUUAUAAGUCAGUUGUUGAAAUACUACAGCUUAACUGUGGAACUGGCAUUGAUACUGUAGAGCUUGAGUUCAGUCGAGGUAGGCGGAAUUGAUGGUGUAGCGGUGAAAUGCUUAGAUAUCAUCAAGAACAUCUAUUGCGAAGGCAGCUUGCUAGGCUGAUACUGACGCUGAGGCACGAAAGCGUGGGGAUCGAACAGG
rnacentral:rRNA from 1 species